UACGGAGGGGGCAAGCGUUGUCCGGAGUUACUGGGCGUAAAGCGCACGUAGGCGGUCUGGUGCGUCGGUGCUGAAAGCGCCGGGCUUAACCCGGCGAGGCGUGCCGAUACGAACAGACUCGAGGCAGGCAGAGGGUGGCGGAAUUCCGGGUGUAGUGGUGAAAUGCGCAGAUAUCAGGAGGAACACCGGUGGCGAAGGCGGGUCUCUGGGCCGAUACUGACGCUGAGGAGCGAAAGCGUGGGGAGCGAACAGG
rnacentral:rRNA from 1 species